rnacentral:rRNA from 1 species
AGCCUGCCCAGUGACAAAGUUCAACGGCCGCGGUACCCUAACCGUGCGAAGGUAGCAUAAUCACUUGUUCUUUAAAUGAGGACUCGUAUCAACGGCACUACGAGGGCUAUACUGUCUCCUUUUUCUAAUCAGUGAAACUGAUCUCCCCGUGAAGAAGCGGGGAUUAAAAUAUAAGACGAGAAGACCCCAUGGAGCUUUAAACUCACCAUGCACCUCUGUGCUCUUAUACCCUUAGACACACCAGACCUGCAUGCUAGUUUUAGGUUGGGGUGACCACGGAGUACAACUUAACCUCCAUAGCAAAUGGGCUAAUACCCUUAUCCAAGAGACACACCUCUAAGAAUUAUUAAACUAAUGCUUACGACCCGAUAUUCGAUCAAUGAACCAAGUUACCCUGGGGAUAACAGCGCAAUCUACUUCAAGAGCCCCUAUCGACAAGUAGGUUUACGACCUCGAUGUUGGAUCAGGGUAUCCUGGUGGUGCAGCCGCUACCAACGGUUCGUUUGUUCAACGAUUAAAACCCUACU